AAAAGGAUCACUGUGUAUCACACUUUUAAAUUCCAAAACACAAAUAAUGAAACAAGAUGCUAUGCUGAGACUCAGCGUGCCAGUCUCCCUGGUCUGGCAACUUCGAACUCAGGAAGAGGCCCCGUGGAAAGAGGAUUAGUUUAUACGGACCUUCCUGCUCUCUAAAAUCACCUUUGUUUAGCUGUAAUACCCUAGGGGCAAAAGCUGCGCCCAACGUGGGGCUCGAACCCACGACCCUGAGAUUAAGAGUCUCAUGCUCUACCGACUGAGCUAGCCGGGCUGAUGCAAAGAGGAAACUACAAUUCUCCUGAACUUCGCUGAACCUAAAACUGGUAGGCACACGCUCUGAAUCCCGCGCACACCGUCUCCCUCGGUUAGGGUGUGGGAGGUGCCGGGUUCCAAUCACAGACGAUUUCUCAUUUUCAAACUCUCAACCCCUUUCAGGAGAGGUAGCAUUAAGCCGAUCAGGAAGGCUUGAUGGCCUCGCCGCCGGGACAAGCCGGGAGACCUUCCCUCCCUGGAGGGUGGGGGUGGGGUGGGGGGAUGUGGACCCCUUGCUUGUGCAAAAAUUUGGAGCAGCUGCCCUUCCGGGAGAAGUGAGCACCACCCCCCAGUUCGGACCCCUACAUCAGGUUACAGAUUCGUGAGGGUUUCCUGCAGCCGAGCCCAGACCAGGAAGGACCCGGAGAAGCUCGAGGGUCACCCGGGACCGGCCGGCUGGGAGGAUCUGGCUGCGAUUCUCAGCCCGGGAUCCGAAGGCGGAGCCGCGGUCUCAGGCCUCCAAGGACAGACACCAGAAAUCGCUACAGCACCGGCUCGUUGGUCUAGGGACAUCGGCUAGUUUUCGGUUUGAAGACUCCGGAUCUCUGCGGAGUCCUGAGCAACGGAAUCGUUCCCGCCGGCCGCGAUCCGAUCGUCCGCGCUCGGUUCUGUUCUGCCAAGCGGCCGUCACUGCGCUGGGUCGCAGCAGGGGCGGCGGCCCUCGAGCCCUGGGCCUGGCCCUGGGGGAGGAGACCGAGGUGGCUCAGUCUCGGCUCUCGGGAGGCCAGACGGCCACUGGGCUGGGUGAUGAUCGGCCUGGGCGAUGAUGUGACUUGCUGCGUGUGUUUAUACUCUGGGUAAUAAACUCAAAUUUUAUGACCCAAGUAAAGGACAAGCCCACGUUUCAAUGUCUUUCCUAUUUGAGGGGCUGCCCAAAGGGUCUUCCACGACCCAGGGAAGGAAGGAAAGGCAGAGGAGACUGCGCGUGGGGCCGCAGACCACUAGUCUCCACGGGGUCCAGGGGGCCGUGCUCCAGACACGGGGUCUCCUCUCCCCCUAGAAGAACCGCGGUGUUUUCAUAGGUUUUAUUAUUAUUUUCUGAGGCCAACUGGUCCAGCCACUGAGAAGGCUUAUUACAGUUUCCAAGAGGAGGUGGCACGGCUCCGCGUGGGGAGGAGGGACGGGACGCACCAGCGUCGGAAGGGAGAAGAAAAUGAAGGCAAGAGACUUUCUCGUGGUUUCAGGGAAGGUGAAACAGGGAAGGCAGGGAAGACAGGCCGAAAUGGCUGGCUGAAAUAAGUUCAGUGGGCUCGGGGGUACAGGUGCUGUCCCUGGUUGUCUGUCUCCUGGCCUUGAGGUGAUUCUGCAGGUGGAUUGUGGCCCAGAGGGUGAGAGUUUGAUAAAAACAGGUGAUCGUCGGCUGUGGACCCUGGAUUGGUUGGUUUAUCUUUGAAAAAUGCCUGCUGACAGAGAAAUUGCUUGCUAUCUCGAACAAUUGACCAGAUCCAUGGGUCUGGAAGACCCCCUGGAGUAGGAAAUGGGAACCCACUCCAAUAUUCUUGCCUGGAAAAUUUCCAUGGGCAGAGGAGCCUGGCGAACUACAGUCCAUGCGGUCGCAAAGAGUCUGACAGGACUGCAAAACCGAGCACCAUUGACCAGGAGGAAGGUUCAAGAGGGAGGGGACAUAUUCACUUACGGCCGAUUCACGUUGAUGAAUGGCAGAAACCAACACAAUACUGUAAAUCAAUU
ensembl:lncRNA